AAUCAAUGUUUACAUAAUAACAAAACUUCAUGCAUGUUACAAUUACUUUUAACAUAUUUAUUGUUUUCUAGGUUGUUAACAUUUUAUACAGAGAGAAUGAUUGGGUGUAUGUAAUAGCAGAGGAUAGCCGUCAAGAGGGUUUUAUACCUCAUUCUUAUUGUACACCUUAUAAUUCUCAACUUGGUGAGAUAGCUUUAAAUAAUGUUAAAAAAAAAUUACCACGUGCACCUGCUGCUACACCAACUGAAACGGUUAUUGAAGUUGAAAUAAAUGAACAACAAAAACAUGGUUUGUGUAUUACAUUUUAUCAAUAUUAAUAUAAUAUUGUAUAUUAUAACUUUAAACAUAAUUGUUCUGUAUGUAUUUUUUUUUUUCAUUAUUAGGAAAUUGUGGUGAUUUAUCAGACUGUGAAAGUUUUGGCAAUAAAACUCAAGAUCAAAAGAUUCAAAAUAAGCAAAAUAUAACUAGUUCUAGAGCAUCAUUAUUAAGUGCGUCUUCACAUCCUGAAAUUCGACCUUUUUUCAAAGUGAGUAUUAUUAAUAUAUUGAAUAUAGUUUACACACUUGCAUAACUUACAGAGAUCUUACUAUCUGUGUGUAAUGGGAAAAUAAUAAAAGAAUAAAUAAAAGCCUCUUCAUAACAUUAAACCGGUAAAUAGAUAUACCAGUACACUGAUUAAUAUUUUGUAUACUAGAUUCUAGAAUAUAAAGAUUUUUUCUAUGAUAAUCAAGAUUUCCUGUAGAACACCAAACAUUUGUACACUAAUUUCUAUUAGUGAUUUACACUAUGUUUAAUUUUUAAAUUUAAUAUAUUGUAUAUUUUUUUCAUCUCUAUACUUUUUGACUAGAAUCAUAAUAAAAUUUUACAUUACACAUAAUCAUGUUUUGUUUGAUGUUUUUUCUCUUCUUUAUUCUCUUUUACUUUUUGUUAUUUACUUAAAUUAUUUUAUUUUAUUAUAGGAUGUUCAAAUGAUAUUAAUAUUGCUAUGAUUUUAGGUUCUAAGCAAAUCGAGAAAUGUAUUGGUUUCAUAAUGAUAUUUUAUUUUUAUUUAUUUUAUACUGUGUGCAAAAAUUCCAUCAGAAACCUGUCUCCGAAGUAUUAAAUAUAGCACCUUUUUUGAAAGGAAAUUUUCUUGGGGUAAUACAGUAGAGGGGGGUCAUUUUUUGAUUUUCCCAGGGGGUUUUCAUAAAAAAAAAAAUGGAAAAAUGUACAAAAAUAAUAAAAGUAUUAUUUUUAAUUUACAAAUAAAAACACAUCUUUGUCAAAUUUGUAAUUUUCUCUGUUAUUUGUCUGUUAACAUGUAUUUGACCAGUUGUGGAUUUUACACCUUUAAAACCUAGUUAGUACUCUUCUACUCCGUUUUUUUUUUUAAUAGUUUUAGUCUUUUUAAAGUUAUAUUUGUGAGGACUUUAUGAUGGGCUAAGUAAAGUUUCCUCUUUAACAGAGGUUCCUAAACUUUUUAUGGUAUUACUCAUUUUGGAAAUUAUUGAAAUUUUGCCGACAAUAAUAUCACUUUUUUUUUCUGCUGUUUCUUGGAUCAGUUAUUUACAACAAAGAAUUAAAAACUAUGCAUUUUAAAGAAUGGCCAAUUUUAUUUUUAAAUUUGUAUCAAGGAAUAUUUAUAAUUAUUUACUUAGUUAGUAAAAAAUAAUAUAUAUAUUAGUAAGUAUAUAAAAUUUUAAUAUGAAACAUGUUAUUGUUUCUUAUAUUUUAUUACUGUAUUGAUAUUCACUUCAAUAUUUGUUAGCUUGAGAUGCAGUGAGUUUGACAAUAUCAAUUUGCUCCAUAAUUUGGUUUUGAUAGCAACCUUUGCUGAAAAUCCAACUUCACAAUUAUAUGAUUAAAUAAAUAGGAGUAACAUCUAUACAGCUUCAUUGAAAACAUUUCAAUGGGUUUCUCGAACAGACAAUCAGAAACUUUUAAAUUUUUUGAUUGAAAUUCAUUUUAAAUAAAUUAUUUUCAAUUAAUUCUUCUUUAGCUCUUAUUUCAUUUUUAGAUAGUUCUCUAUCUCACUCAGAAAAUAUGAAUCAAAAUUAUCUUUCAGUGUAUUUAAAUUAUUAGAAAUAGAUGAAAUAAUGUUAUCAUCAAAUUUUAUUUGUAAAUCAAAUAAAUAUAGAACAACUAUUAAUUUGAUUGUGUCUAUUGACAAAUUCAUAAUUGUAACACUCGCAGAUAACGAUUUAUGAUAAAACUGAAUUUGAACAUCAACGAAAAGUAAUAAAAAUACAGAAUUAUAGUACCACAUGUCAAAAAAAAAAAAAUAUAUUAUUUAAAAAUAUUAUGGUGACAGUUUGGGAACCUCUGCUCUAUAGUUUUGGCAGUCCCUUAAGUCUCCAUUUUUAUGUAUUGGACACAGUACUAAAUAAAAUCUGCUAUGAUUUUGGUAAUAUUUCUUCUUUCCAUGUUAUAGUUAUUACCUGUUUCAAGUAUAUUAUAAGUUCCAACAUUUUUGAGUCUUCUCUUAACGCUCUUCCUCUCUUUAGCAUAUUAACUACAUUUUAAUCUCCUCCAACAAAGGCCUCUAAAAAUUCCUCUACUGAAUAUUAUUAUUUUCAGUUUCUAUUUGAGUUGAUAUGUUCAAGAUAUUUUUGAGAUCUUUUCGAGUUCUUUUGUUACCUCUUCCUUAUCAGUGAUUAAUUUUAACUUUUUGUUUUUCAUUAUUCUUGAUCUAGGUUCGAAUCUAUUUGAUUCUGAGCGAAGCGAGGAAUGUAUUGGUUUUACAAUGAUUUAAAUUUUUUUUUUUUCAGUGGACAACUUUUCUAUCAGAAAUCUUGCUCCAAUUUUUAAGUGUUGCACUUUUUCUGAAAUGGAAUUGGACUGGGGGAGGUACUUUAGGGAGGUCAUUUUUGGAUUUUCUAAGUUGGCUUUCAUAAUAUCUGGGAAUAAACCGGGAUAAAAUGUAGGGAAAAAAAACUACGAAAAUAAUGCAUUUUGAAUUUAGUUUAAAAUGUUCAUAGUGGUUUAAAAUUUGGAUAGAAAACUUAUAUUUACCUUUUCUAGAGGUGAUAAAACUGUGAAAGCAUAUCAGACAUUUAUUAAUUGUUUAUAGAUAUUUUAAAUUUCUGAGUAAUUUUUAUUUAGUAGGUACUCUGUGGAUAAAAUUGUGCUUAGAAAUUGAUUACGAGGUUCAUUAGAAGUUGUAUAUUGUGGUCAAAACAAAAAAAAAAAAAAUGAGUUGUUUUAUAUAUGCUCUGAAUCUAAAAGAGCUGAUAAUGGAAACAGGUGCGACCACUGUUAUAGUGGAGAAAGUAGUAUACAGUGGUAUGGCGCGCAGCGUUUUAUUAGUGCUCCACUAUUCUCCCCUUACCUAAACUUAAAAGUAUAAUACCUUGUCAAUGAGUGGAUGGAAAUAAAAAAUGUUAAAACCAAAACGUAUUUAAAGUAAUACUUUGUCUUAGAGAUUUAUGGAUUUUUAAAUAUAGGCUCUCAUUUGAAAAACCAAAUUUGUAUUGUCUCAGGAUACUCCUUAAAUUUUAUGAAAAAUCUAAGUAUUCGAAAAUAUCAGUUUUAAUUACAAUUAAAAAUUCAAUAAACAGAAUUUGAAUUUAUGCAAAAUUUAAUCAAAAAAAGUUUAAUCUUCUGACUCUGUUUAAAAAAAUAUAUUUUCUUAAAUAUUUAUCAAUAUUAAUUCUAUAAUAUAUAUUAUUCUAUUUGCCAUAUUUAUUACAUUUAUUUUGAUUAUUUAAUUAUUUAGGCAUAUUACAUUAUGUUGUGGACCACUUCAUUUUUGGAUCAAAGAUAAUUGUGGUAGGUACAUUUAUUCAAAAGAAACAGUUUUGAAACAUGUUUGGUACAAAGUGUAGUUUUGUAAUUUUAUCUAUUGUAUAUUAUUAUUACUUGUUCAAUGUAAUAUUAUAAUAUAUUAACCUUUGGGAAUUAUAGGAUCCUGCUGGACGGUACAUCGUUCUGUAUACAUUUAUAGCAAGAGAUGAAAAUGAUGUUAGCGUUGAAAGAGGAGAAUUUGUUACUGUAUUGAAUAGAGAAGACCCUGAUUGGUAUUGGAUUAUUCGUAGCGACGGACAAGAAGGUUUUGUUCCUAGCGGUUUUGUUUAUCCAGCUGAUAUAAUACAAGGUAUAGAAUAUAUCCAAUAAAUUUGUUUCAUUAUUAAUGAUAAUUAAAUUAUUAAUUAAUAAUAAAUUAAAAUAAUAACAUAUAUUAUGAUAAAAUUAAUCAUUGUAUAGUCAAAAUAAAUAAUUAUCAAUUAAUAAAAUAAUAAAUUAAAACAAAAUUAUUAAAAUGGUUAAUAAUCUUAAAUAAAUAUAUAAAUAAAACAAUUCAUAUAUAUAUAUAUAUAUAAAAUGUUUUAUAUAUAUUUACUAUAUUUAAUUAUUGAUUGUUUUUUGUACAGGUCAUAUUAAUCAAAUGAAUAAUAAUAAUCAGUGUACUGGUGCUACUAAUACUGGACUUCCUCCAGUAACAAGAGCUCGACCACGUCGGAAUUCUUGUGUGGCUGAUGAUGAUCCAGCUAUUCAUGGUACUGAAAUGGUUAUGUUGUAUGAUUACAAGGUAUGUGCAUAUUCAAUGUAAUUAAAGGGUCAAAUGCAACAACUGGCCUUGUCCACUUUUACUUAAUGUUUGGUAGACAGAAAAAUCUUUAAAAUAAAGAAAAAGAUAAAAUUUCAGACAAAUAAUGUAAUGUAGUUAUUAAUAUUACAAAAUAUUUAAACAUUUAAAUGAACACAGUUUUGUUAUUUAAGUUAGUCCUAUUGCAAUUUUUAAUCAAUAAAUAUUGUAUUAAAAAUAUUAAUUUAAUUAUUAAAAUUACACUACAUUACUACAUAGCAGAUUUAUAACCUACUAUAAUUUUGAAUCCACGUCAAAAUGUUGUGGCAAUAAUUUCGUGAUUAAAAAUAUCUGUAUAAAAAUUAUUUAAAAAUUAAAAAUAUAAAUUUUUUAUUUUGUAUUAUAUUUAGUAUAAUUUAUAUACAGUGAGGUUAGAUUAAAAAUAAUAAUUUCUUACAUUUCAUACAUUUGUAGUUGUCAUUUAUACUGUUUAUGUACAUAGUCAAAUCAAAUUAGUUAUUAAAAAAGUAUUAUAUUAUUUAUAUUACAGUAGAUUCUCGUUAUAUCGAAUCUCAAGGGGAACAAAAAAAAGUUCGAGAUAAUGAAUUUUAUUAAAAAAUACAUAAUUUUAAUACUUAAAAUACUGAAAUAAUUGAAAUGAGUGAAUAAAUUAUGUUUUAUUUUAAAAAAUCUGUCAUUAAAGUUUGCUUAAUAUUACUUCUUUCUGCCACGACGUCUUCCAAAUUAGAUAAUACAAAAAAGCCUUAUCUUCUAUACCUGUGAUAGUCUCAACAAAAUUCCUUAAUGUUUUUAAAGCAUGUUUGGCUUGUUGAAUUGUAACUUCAAAAAUGACUUCCUCCUCAUUUUGUGGUUCGUUUUCACUCUCGCUGGUAUUUCAGAUGGUUUCUGAUAAAAUUUUGUUAUCUGUCCAUGUUCCACAUACGUGUACAUUAUUGUCCAUUUCCACAUAAUGUGAAAAACUCUGUCGUCAAAAUUAAGAUGAUCAGCAACAAAAUUCCAUUUAUAAUCAGAAAUGGUAGUUGAGUAAUCUAAUGCAAUUAUAUCAUCGUCUUUAAAUCCGGUUUUUAUGAAGCAAUUUAAUAUAGUCUGUGGUGUUACACUUCUGAUUAUUUCUUUUCUAUAAAACAUUUUGAAAUUCUGUAUAACACCUUGGCUCAUUGGCUGAAAUAUAAGAUGUUGUAUUAGCGGGUAAAAAAUGUACUUUAAUGGAACUUAAUUCAAUAUCGUGAUUAUGAGCUAUACAAUUAUCUAUGAAUAGUAGAACUUUUCGAUUUUCUAGUUUCAUUUUUCUAUAAAAAUUUAAAAGCCACUCACUAAAUAAUGACGAAGUCAUCCAAGCCUUUUUAUUUGACCCAUAGUCAACUGGUAAAGAUUUAAUUCCUUUAAAACACCUAGGCUUCUUUGCUUUACCAAUGACAAAUAAUUUUAGUUUUUCGGUUCCAGACAUAUUUGCUCCUACCAUAAUUGUAAUGCUCUCUUUACUGUAUUUUCCACCCGAACAUUCUUUACCUUUUAAUAUUAAUAUUUUAUCUGGUAAGCAUUUGAAAAAUGAGCCCGUUUCAUCGACAUUAAAAAUAUCAUUAGAAGAAUAACCUGCUAAGACGUCAGGAAGAUUUUUAAUCCAAUUUGAACAACAAUCUGUGUAUACUGAAGCUUUUUCUCCACAAACAGUUCGAAAAACUACAUCAUGUCUUUUUUUUCAAUUUGUAAGCCAUCCACUGCUAGCUUUAAAAUUAGUGUGUCCUAGUUGUUGUGCAUAUUCGUUUGCUUUUUCAAGUAAAAUUGUUCCAUUUAAUAGUAUAUUUUUAUCUCGACACUGAGUAAACUAUUUUAGCAAACAUUUAUUAAUGUGCAAAUAAGGAGUCAUCCUCAUUUUUUUCAUAUUUCCACAAUUGAACUUCAUUAUUUUCUCUUUCUGUUUAAUAAUUGACGAUAAUGUAUUUGGUGGAAUAUUGAAUUCAUUAACGAUUUCACAUUUUUUACAGUCAACUUUUUCAACUAACUGUAUUAAACGAACUUUGUCCGAAAUUGAAAGAAUAUUUAAUUUACGCUUCUUUUCCAUUUCACUACAAAACGAACAAACGAACUACGAAAGAUUACAAACGCGCUAAAUCACAAUCGCUAUAAUGAAUGUACUGCACAAUUCCUGUUUUAACCGUAAUAAAAAUAUUAUUUGUGAAUUCGAGAUAACGAAAAACGAUUAAUUUUAUAUCGAGUUCAAAACACUAUUAAGUGUAAUAGUAGUUUCAAGGGGAAUCCAAUGUAUUUCGAGAUAACGAAAAAUUCGAGAUAGCGACAUUCGACAUAUUAAGAAUCUACUAUAUUAUAAUUGGUACUGAAAAUUGUGAGUUAUUCCGCGUAGGUAGGUGUCAAUCAAUCUUUUUUCGUACUCAUUAACAUCGUUUGUUGUUAGUCUUAUAGCAGAGUCCUUGUAUUUUUUUUUUACCGGAGGUUUGACACCAGCAAUAUAUUGUUCAACUUUUAUAAAAAUUAUUUAAGCAUUCCUUAUAUUAAAAUUGUAUAGCAAAUUUGUUUCGUGUAGAGACAUUUUUGCGCAUGCAACGUUUUUCACUGCAACAUUUUUUACCACGACAUUUUGAUGGAAUACCAAUAAUUUUAUAUUAUCAAAUAAAAAAUUGUCUAUGAUACAGAAGUACAAUUAUUUAUGUCCUGAUAUCCUUUUUUUUCCUAUUUCUAACAAAACCAGAUAUGUCUGAUACAAUGCUACCACUCUAAAAUAAAAAUUUAAAAAGACGUCUUAGGAUAAUGGGGACGGGUACAGCCACUGUUAAGGAUAAUUUAAUGUAUACCUGUAAGCAACUAAAAACGAUUCUGAGCUGAGUUCAGUUGAUAGUGAUACUUUGUCAACAAUAUAUAUGUAAUUUUGUAGUAAAAUAAUUAAUAGGCUUAUAUAUUUUUUUAAUGUUGUACCUAUUUUCCAGAUUUUCCUACAUUUUUCCCAGUUUUCUCCAUAUUUUCUUCUGGUUUUUCACAUUUACUGGGAAAACUCCUGAGAAAAUCGAAAAACGAUCACUGUUUAGUACCUCGCUAGUGAAAUUUCUUUUUAGAAACAUUGCUAUCGUUAUAAAUUAGAGCAAAAUUGCUGGUAGAAAAGUUGUUCGCAAGAAAAAAAAAAGGCUAUUGUAUAUUUUAACUAAUACAUACAUUUCUUAUAUUUUUCAUUUUUCCUCAGUUUUUUUCGGUUUUUUAAAUUUGAUAAGAAAAGUCCUGAUAAAAUUGAAAAAUUACCUUCUUGAAGUACAUCCCCACACUGAUUUCCUUUCAGAAAAGGUGCUACACUUAGAAUUUAAGUAACUCUUUAAGUAAAAAAGUUCAAAUAUAAAAAAAAAAAAAAUAAACAUCUUUGUAAAACUAUAAGCUUCUUUGCUCCAUUCAUAAUCUAAAAUAUAAUAUUUAUGUAGACUUAUAGACAAUUUUCUCCUGCAUAUUUAACCCCUGAAAAAGUGAUUUUAUUCAAAAACUGGGCAUAGCCAAUAGUUAUAGUUGACCCUUCAAUUAUGAUUUUGGACAUUGAUUAUAUGCUAUUAUAGAGUUUAUUAUUUAUUUGGUAAUUUUAUAUAGCCUCAAGCACCAGAUGAUCUAUCAGUCAAACGAGGUGAAUGGAUUUAUGCCGAUCUAGACAAUCAAAUGGUUGAAGGAUGGUUAUGGACAUAUGCACCAAAAACAAGAAAAUAUGGUUUUAUACCUAAAGCAUAUGCUCAUCCGCCUGCCAUGACCAGUUUAUGAUUUUAGGAAUUAAUUAUUAAAUUGAUGAUAAUUUGUGAUCAUUAAUAUCAAAAAGUAUUAUUUUAUGUGUUCAGUAUGAACUUUAAUUCUUAAGUCAAUUUGGAACUCUAACCCAAUAACUUUUAAACUAAAUUUAACUCCUAUAUCUCUCCUAUCCUUUAUUCUUCUUAUAACUUCUUUUGAUGAUCUUUCAAAACCAAUAAUUGUGAUAUUUAAUAACUUAAUGGGAUUGGUGAUAAAAUUAUAUAGGGUAUUAUUUAA
rnacentral:lncRNA from 1 species